AGGAAUUGACNGGGGGCCCGCACAAGCGGUGGAGCAUGUGGUUUAAUUCGAUGCAACGCGCAGAACCUUACCUGGGCUUGAACUGUGCCGGAAACUUUCUGAAAGGAAAGCCUCCUUCGGGACUGGUACAGAGGUGCUGCAUGGCUGUCGUCAGCUCGUGUCGUGAGAUGUUGGGUUAAGUCCUGCAACGAGCGCAACCCCUACCGUUAGUUGCCAUCAGGUUAUGCUGGGCACUCUAGCGGGACUGCCGGCGUUAAGCCGGAGGAAGGCGGGGACGACGUCAAGUCCUCAUGGCCCUUACGUCCAGGGCUACACACGUGCUACAAUGGGUGGUACAAAGAGUCGCAAUACCGCGAGGUGGAGCUAAUCUCAAAAAACCAUCCUCAGUUCGGAUUUCAGUCUGCAACUCGACUGCAUGAAGCCGCAAUCGCUAGUAAUCGUGGAUCAGCACGCCACGGUGAAUACGUUCCCGGGCCUUGUACACACCGCCCGUCACACCAUGGAAGUCGGGAGUACCCGAAGCCGCCUCACUAAUAGGGGUGUCGAAGGUAAGCUUCAUA
rnacentral:rRNA from 1 species